UACGUAGGGGGCUAGCGUUGUCCGGAAUCAUUGGGCGUAAAGCGCGCGUAGGCGGCCAGAUAAGUCCGGUGUGAAAGUCACAGGCUCAACCUGUGAAUGCCGCUGGAAACUGUCUGGCUAGAGUCCGGAAGGGGCGAGUGGAAUUCCCAGUGUAGAGGUGAAAUUCGUAGAUAUUGGGAAGAACACCGGUGGCGAAGGCGGCGACCUGGUCCUUGACUGACGCUGAGGCGCGAAAGCGUGGGGAGCAAACCGG
rnacentral:rRNA from 1 species